GGGGGGGGUGGGUAUCGAACUCUGGCUGCAUGGUAUAUCCUGUAAAGUAGGAAUGUCUUGAUGGGGAUGCAGGAACAAUCAGCAAUGGAAAAGAUCCAGUGUCCAGCUGUAGGGGGUGGCAGGGGAUGUCCCUGACCACUACCCCACCACCAGAUGUUUUUGGGAUUAAUGGGGUGAAACGUCUGUAAUCGGUGGCUCCUGGAUGAUGACCCCGUAAGGUGGACGACUGAAGGCACUGGGGAAGGUGUGGCAGGAAUGAUUGGCACGUCUACAGACACACCCGGCAGUCUCUAAGGGAUGAGACACUGCAAGCUGCAGCCCGCAAGUGCUUUUUUUCCCAAGUGUGUGUGUGUAAAGAUGGAGAGAUUUGGCCAGUAAAUCAACUCCACAGAGAAACAGUCUAUUAAGCGGUCUAGAGUCCAUCAUUAAAAUUCCCUGAGUCGUUUUGGAGCAGUUCUUCUUCCACAUUGACCAUGAGUGGUACCACUUUCUUCAGCUGUGACGUCAAGGGAAGUGGACCCGAGGAAUUGUGGGUAAAGGGUGAGGUGCCUGAACCACUGUGUUGGAUUUACCUUAACAUGUUUUCCUGUGCUCCAGUCAUUUAUCUCUUACAGUACCCUCUGCAUUUGGUCAUCUUUGCCUUCACCAUCCCAGGACCAACUAGGUAGAGAGAGUGAGGAUAACGAAAGUUAUACGGGAACAAAGAGAAGGUGACUAAAUGAAGACAGAAUAACACAUUUUGAUGGAAGAAUCUUCAUGCAUACAAAUGCAGUGACUUCCACUGUGUGUAGUUUUGCCCCACAUGGAAGAAGAAUCCUUCUCCUUUUUUCACUGAGUGACUGGCGAUGAAUUGUUGAAAAGCCUCUGAGGGAAGGGUUUGUCAGUUUGCCGAAUAUGAAACAUUUGAAGUAUCCGACCGAGACCCUUGGACCGCCUCUGGUCUGGAUUAAAGGAAUCACCGGUUGGCUCAGGACUGUCUGGGUCUAAUGACUCGCAGAUGGGCCCUAGCAAACCCCAUUGGGCCACUCAAACUGGGUCACCCAUAAACAAAUUAGACUCUUGAUCUCACUGUGUAAUUGACUCACAGGAAAAUACUGUGGUGAACAAAGACUAUUGUUCCCCCCAUCAGUUUAAAGGGAUAGUUCACCCAAAAAUGACAAUUCUGUCAUCAUUUACUCACACCCAUGUUGUUCCAAAGUCGUAUGACAACAUGAGGGCCUGUAAGCCAGCGUAGUUCUAGCGGGAAGACUAGCAGCUGUACAUCAUUACACCAUUAGCUAGGUAACCCCUAGACAAUCACAUGUAAGCCAUUGCUUUACAAGUCUGCUCACAAUCCAUCACAUUGCUGUUUCAGUGCGUUAACACGGCAACCUCCACCACCCAACCAUCACCAGUUGAGUCCCGUCCAGUACGGAGGUAGGCUCCUCGCCCCUGCCUCCUAUCUCCGGCAGGAUAUGACGGUUCCGAGUACUACAACUUCGGACCACCAGACGGGGCUCACGCCAAAGAGACAUUACAUUUCUGUUUUAUAUUCAUCAAAUAAAUGUCAUCUUAAUUUCACUCAGUCUGUGGGUCUUCCUGAUAGAAAAUAAAUUCAAGAUUUGCAUUUUUGGGUGAACCAUCCCAUUAAUACAGAAUCCAAGGUACCGUAGAAGCUACAGAACUUUGUUUUGAAUGGAUGUCUUCUCCAGCAGACUCAGGUUUUUUCAGUAUGGUAUACUAGCAUAAUGCACACUACACAAUGUGCAUUGUAUAGCCUUCUGUCUACUUUUCUUUACAAAAAAAAAAUAGUAUGGGAAAACUUUAAACUUUUCAAACAGUAGCAAGCUACAAACAAGGUCCACCUGGAGAGAGCUAUAUGUUAGCAUUGCCAUUCACCUAAAUGCUAGCUGGUCAGUUGGCGCAUUUUGUGAGGACUACACAGCUAAAGUUAAAUGGCUGUCAAUAUGCUUUUUGUCCUCAGAUUGGAGUAGUUACAACAUCUACCAGUCGGCGCCAACUGUUCAUGCAGACCAGAAGUGUCUAUUAGGAAAGAUGGCAUACACUAGACGAACAAUUGCCUUUGAGAUGAAUGGGAAAGAUGGAUAGCUCUCUCCAACUUUUAUAAACAUUGUAAUGUCCUGAAUCUCUAUAAACUACCAUAGUUAGGCUAAAUGCUAUGCUAACCUCUACUCAAGUGAGUAUUUUUGUGUAAAAUUGCUUUAUGAUUGAUCUGUAGUAUUACGUCCAUGUCCUACCCUAAGGGGAAGGUGCUUUGUUUUGUGAUGUUUUUUUGUGGGUUAGCACUCUCAGUCAAUGCUUAAACCUCAUGCUAAUAUCAAAAUUAUCAUGGGUUAGCAAGAGUUUCCUGCAAACAAACGUGUCAGCUUCAUGCUAAUUUCAUGUUUUUGUUGAUAUCUCUACUUAAAUUUUUUUUUUGCCAUUAACUCUCGAUUUUCACAAGGAAAUUUCCCAAAACACCUCUAAAACCAUCAAACUAGACCAGUAUGAGUAUCUUAAACCAUCCUAGGUUGGUUUACUCUGUUUAUAAACAUGGAUGUGUGUAUAUUUUAAUGUGAGCACCAUGGUGACAACGUACACAAGAUUAACUGUUAAUCUUGAAUAAGUGUAAUUAAAAUUAGUCGAGGCAUUUUAAUACUAGACUAUUCCUCUUGUGUAGAGCUGUUUUGGGACAAAGUUAGACCUAGUUACUUAAAAAGAUACUGAAACGGCCAGGUUCGGCUACAACACUAUGAUUAUAAAGCAGAGUUCAUCGUCUGGUUGCUUUGAGAUAUGACAUAAUUAUUGUCAAGAGACAUAUUAGUUGUCAGAUGACUUGUUCAUGAAAUGGCAAACAUUACAUAUGAAGCAGUUUUAGCAGCAAGUAUGUUUUACUGUUUUAAAGCUUCCAUUAGCAUCAUUAAUAGAUGGACAUAAAUUUUAUGUAAUGUCAUUCUAAGCUCAAAACAAUCCCUGAAUUCACGUAAAAUAAAUUGGUGCUGCUGA